GCGCCCGUAGCUCAGCUGGUAGAGCAGGUCCCUUUUAAGGACAAGGUCCCGCGUUCGAUCCGCGGCGGGCGCA
rnacentral:tRNA from 1 species